rnacentral:rRNA from 1 species
GACGAACGCUGGCGGCGUGCUUAACACAUGCAUGUCGAACGGUAAGGCCCUUCGGGGUACACGAGUGGCGAACGGGUGAGUAACACGUGGGUGAUCUGCCCUGCACUUCGGGAUAAGCCUGGGAAACUGGGUCUAAUACCGGAUAGGACUCCUGGCUUCAUGGUUGGGGGUGGAAAGCUUUUGCGGUGUGGGAUGGGCCCGCGGCCUAUCAGCUUGUUGGUGGGGUAAUGGCCUACCAAGGCGACGACGGGUAGCCGGCCUGAGAGGGUGACCGGUCACACUGGGACUGAGAUACGGCCCAGACUCCUACGGGAGGCAGCAGUGGGGAAUAUUGCACAAUGGGUGCAAGCCUGAUGCAGCGACGCCGCGUGAGGGAUGACGGCCUUCGGGUUGUAAACCUCUUUCAGCUAUGACGAAGCGCAAGUGACGGUAGUAGCAGAAGAAGGACCGGCCAACUACGUGCCAGCAGCCGCAGUAA